GGGCCCGCACAAGCGGUGGAGCAUGUGGUUUAAUUCGACGCAACGCGAAGAACCUUACCAGCCUUUGACAUGGACAUUAGGAUCGAUAGAGAUAUUGGUUUUCAUUUAGUUGGGUGUCACACAGGUGCUGCAUGGCUGUCGUCAGCUCGUGUCGUGAGAUGUUGGGUUAAGUCCCGCAACGAGCGCAACCCUCGCCUUUAGUUGCCAUCAUUUAGUUGGGCACUCUAAAGGAACUGCCUAUGAUAAGUAGGAGGAAGGUGGGGAUGACGUCAAGUCCUCAUGGCCCUUACAGGCUGGGCUACACACGUGCUACAAUGGUUAUUACAGAGGGAAGCAAGCCUGAGAAGGCAAGCAAAUCCCGUAAAAAUAAUCUCAGUUCGGAUUGAGCUCUGCAACUCGAGCUCAUGAAGUUGGAAUCGCUAGUAAUCGUGGAUCAGCAUGCCACGGUGAAUACGUUCCCGGGCCUU
rnacentral:rRNA from 1 species